UUUUCGGUCUUGUACUUCUCGUAUUAUUUGUUCAUUGGUACAUAUCUGUUUAUUUUGGGUUUCGGAUGCUGGACUUAUUUUCAAUUCAUUUAAAUCUGUUUCUAGUAAAUUAAUUUUUUUUUCACCAUUGUUUAUUUUUGUUUCUAGUUGAGUUAAUUGAGUUUUUAUAUGGUCAUGUUCUAGUGACAUUUUUGUAGUUGCCGAUUUGAUAUCUUGCAUCUGAGAACUUAUUUCUGCUAUGUUAUUAUUAAAUAUAUUUUUAAUUUCCUCUUGUGAAGUCUUUAAAUCUGUAAUUUCAGUUUUUACUGUUCCAAUACACUCCCUCAUUUGAUUCAUCAUUAGUGUAUUAGAGCCAACGUACGUUUCUAAUAGUGUCGUCAUCCGAGAUAAUUCGCUCCGUAUUAAUCUAAUUUCUUCCGAACACUGACAUUCUUCAUCGGCUGGUAUUUUACGUUUACGGAAAGUUAUUUGUGAGCUAGGUGUGGAUGUACUGAAGCGCUGGUCAGUGUGCGAGAGAGUUAAAAAAUAUCAACCGUUUUGUUUACGCGGG
rnacentral:misc_RNA from 1 species